rnacentral:rRNA from 1 species
UACGAAGGGGGCUAGCGUUGCUCGGAAUCACUGGGCGUAAAGCGCACGUAGGCGGAUUGUUAAGUCAGGGGUGAAAUCCUGGAGCUCAACUCCAGAACUGCCUUUGAUACUGGCGAUCUUGAGUCCGGGAGAGGUGAGUGGAACUGCGAGUGUAGAGGUGAAAUUCGUAGAUAUCGUGAGGAAGACCAGUGGCGAAGGCGGAUCUCUGGACAGUUCCUGACGCUGAGGCGCGAAGGCCAGGGGAGCAAACGGG